rnacentral:rRNA from 1 species
GACGAACGCUGGCGGCGUGCUUAACACAUGCAAGUCGAACGGUAAGGCCCUUCGGGGUACACGAGUGGCGAACGGGUGAGUAACACGUGGGUGAUCUGCCCUGCACUUCGGGAUAAGCCUGGGAAACUGGGUCUAAUACCGGAUAGGACCACUGCCUGCAUGGGGGGUGGUGGAAAGCUUUUGAGGUGUGGGAUGGGCCCGCGGCCUAUCAGCUUGUCGGUGGGGUGAUGGCCUACCAAGGCGACGACGGGUAGCCGGCCUGAGAGGGUGACCGGCCACACUGGGACUGUGAUACGGCCCAGACUCCUACGGGAGGCAGCAGUGGGGAAUAUUGCACAAUGGGCGCAAGCCUGAUGCAGCGACGCCGCGUGAGGGAUGACGGCCUUCGGGUUGUAAACCUCUUUCAGCACCGACGAAGCGCAAGUGACGGUAGGUGCAGAAGAAGGACCGGCCAACUACGUGCCAGCAGCCGCCGUAA